rnacentral:rRNA from 1 species
UAACACAUGCAAGUCGAACGAUGAACCACUUCGGUGGGGAUUAGUGGCGAACGGGUGAGUAACACGUGGGCAAUCUGCCCUUCACUCUGGGACAAGCCCUGGAAACGGGGUCUAAUACCGGAUACUGACCCUCGCAGGCAUCUGCGAGGUUCGAAAGCUCCGGCGGUGAAGGAUGAGCCCGCGGCCUAUCAGCUUGUUGGUGAGGUAAUGGCUCACCAAGGCGACGACGGGUAGCCGGCCUGAGAGGGCGACCGGCCACACUGGGACUGAGACACGGCCCAGACUCCUACGGGAGGCAGCAGUGGGGAAUAUUGCACAAUGGGCGAAAGCCUGAUGCAGCGACGCCGCGUGAGGGAUGACGGCCUUCGGGUUGUAAACCUCUUUCAGCAGGGAAGAAGCGAAAGUGACGGUACCUGCAGAAGAAGCGCCGGCUAACUACGUGCCAGCAGCCGCGGUAAUACGUAGGGCGCAAGCGUUGUCCGGAAUUAUUGGGCGUAAAGAGCUCGUAGGCGGCUUGUCACGUCGGUUGUGAAAGCCCGGGGCUUAACCCCGGGUCUGCAGUCGAUACGGGCAGGCUAGAGUUCGGUAGGGGAGAUCGGAAUUCCUGGUGUAGCGGUGAAAUGCGCAGAUAUCAGGAGGAACACCGGUGGCGAAGGCGGAUCUCUGGGCCGAUACUGACGCUGAGGAGCGAAAGCGUGGGGAGCGAACAGGAUUAGAUACCCUGGUAGUCCACGCCGUAAACGGUGGGCACUAGGUGUGGGCAACAUUCCACGUUGUCCGUGCCGCAGCUAACGCAUUAAGUGCCCCGCCUGGGGAGUACGGCCGCAAGGCUAAAACUCAAAGGAAUUGACGGGGGGCCCGCACAAGCGGCGGAGCAUGUGGCUUAAUUCGACGCAACGCGAAGAACCUUACCAAGGCUUGACAUACACCGGAAAGCAUCAGAGAUGGUGCCCCCCUUGUGGUCGGUGUACAGGUGGUGCAUGGCUGUCGUCAGCUCGUGUCGUGAGAUGUUGGGUUAAGUCCCGCAACGAGCGCAACCCUUGUCCCGUGUUGCCAGCAAGCCCUUCGGGGUGUUGGGGACUCACGGGAGACCGCCGGGGUCAACUCGGAGGAAGGUGGGGACGACGUCAAGUCAUCAUGCCCCUUAUGUCUUGGGCUGCACACGUGCUACAAUGGCCGGUACAAUGAGCUGCGAUACCGCAAGGUGGAGCGAAUCUCAAAAAGCCGGUCUCAGUUCGGAUUGGGGUCUGCAACUCGACCCCAUGAAGUCGGAGUCGCUAGUAAUCGCAGAUCAGCAUUGCUGCGGUGAAUACGUUCCCGGGCCUUGUACACACCGCCCGUCACGUCACGAAAGUCGGUAACACCCGAAGCCGGUGGCCCAAUUCCUUGUGGGAGGGAGCUGUCGAAGGUGGAC